AGUGAACGCUGGCGGUAGGCCUAACACAUGCAAGUCGAACGGCAGCACAGUAAGAGCUUGCUCUUACGGGUGGCGAGUGGCGGACGGGUGAGGAAUACAUCGGAAUCUACUUUUUCGUGGGGGAUAACGUAGGGAAACUUACGCUAAUACCGCAUACGACCUACGGGUGAAAGCAGGGGAUCUUCGGACCUUGCGCGAUUGAAUGAGCCGAUGUCGGAUUAGCUAGUUGGCGGGGUAAAGGCCCACCAAGGCGACGAUACGUAGCUGGUCUGAGAGGAUGAUCAGCCCAACUGGAACUGAGACACGGUCCAGACUCCUACGGGGGGCAGCAGGGGGGAAUAUUGGACAAUGGGCGCAAGCCUGAUCCAGGCAUACCGCGUGGGUGAAGAAGGCCUUCGGGUUGUAAAGCCCUUUUGAUGGGAAAGAAAAGCAGCAGGUUAAUACCCCGCUGUUCUGACGGUACCCAAAGAAUAAGCACCGGCUAAAUUCGUG
rnacentral:rRNA from 1 species